UAGGGAAUCUUCGGCAAUGGGGGGAACCCUGACCGAGCAACGCCGCGUGAGCGAAGAAGGUUUUCGGAUCGUAAAGCUCUGUUGUUAAGGAAGAACGAGUGUGAGAAUGGAAAGUUCAUGCUGUGACGGUACUUAACCAGAAAGGGACGGCUAACUACGUGCCAGCAGCCGCGGUAAUACGUAGGUCCCGAGCGUUGUCCGGAUUUAUUGGGCGUAAAGCGAGCGCAGGCGGUUAGAAAAGUCUGAAGUGAAAGGCAGUGGCUCAACCAUUGUAGGCUUUGGAAACUGUUUAACUUGGGUGCAGAAGGGGAGAGUGGAAUUCCCUGUGUGGCGGUGAAAUGCGUAGAUAUAUGGAGGAACACCAGUGGCGAAAGCGGCUCUCUGGUAUAUAACUGACGAUGAGGCUCGAAAGCGUGGGGAGCGAACAGG
rnacentral:rRNA from 1 species